GAUGAACGCUAGCGGCAGGCUUAAUACAUGCAAGUCGAGGGGCAGCAUGGUUGUAGCAAUACAACUGAUGGCGACCGGCAAACGGGUGCGGAACACGUACGCAAUCUACCCAAAACUGGUGAAUAGCCCUCCGAAAGGAGGAUUAAUACACCGUAACUUAAUGAGGUGGCAUCACUUUAUUAAUAUAGCUCCGGCGGUUUUGGAUGAGCGUGCGCCUGAUUAGGUAGUUGGCGGGGUAACGGCCCACCAAGCCUGCGAUCAGUAACUGGUGUGAGAGCACGACCAGUCACACGGGCACUGAGACACGGGCCCGACUCCUACGGGAGGCAGCAGUAAGGAAUAUUGGUCAAUGGACGCAAGUCUGAACCAGCCAUGCCGCGUGAAGGAUGAAGGUCCUCUGGAUUGUAAACUUCUUUUAUAGGGGAAGAAAUCUGAAUAUUCCUAUUCAGUUGACGGUACCCUAGGAAUAAGCACCGGCUAACUCCGUGCCAGCAGCCGCAGUAAAAC
rnacentral:rRNA from 1 species